UACGGGGGGGGCAAGCGUUGUUCGGAAUUACUGGGCGUAAAGGGCGCGUAGGCGGUCUGCUAAGUUGGAUGUGAAAACUCUGGGCUUAACCCAGAGCCUGCAUUCAAUACUGACAGGCUAGAGUUCUGGAGGGGAUAGCGGAAUUCCUGGUGUAGCGGUGAAAUGCGUAGAUAUCAGGAGGAACACCGGUGGCGAAGGCGGCUAUCUGGACAGAGUCUGACGCUGAGGCGCGACAGCGUGGGGAGCAAACAGG
rnacentral:rRNA from 1 species